ACAUCAAGCCAUCUCUUCCUCUCUCACGAAAUCCUCUCAUUCUUUCCUUAUCUCUCUCUUUUCUUGUACAAGCAAUUUUUUGAGGAAUCUCCACCAUAAAGAGAAGUUUAUAGGUUUCUUGCAUUGGAUCAAGCUUAAAGAGGAAGUGGAAUUUCUCCACUAUUCUUUGGCUAUUGCAUCCUUCUUCUUUUCAACCAUAGUGUUCACAAAGAUGACUAUUAGAAUUAUUUGUACUCCAUAUGAUUAUAUUAAAGCAAAAGUUGUUUACAUUGUGCUUGGUUCUCAUGAUCUCUGUAUGGACAGAUUUUUUCAUCUUUGA